UGGAAAAACAUUAAAGAAACAGUAUUCUCCACUCACUGGGCUUCUUUUUCAGGAAGCUUCUUCUCCACAAAGCUUCUUCUGCAUAAUGCCUCUUUUGCACAGUGCCUCUUCUAUGUGAGUUUCUUCUUCGGGAGUCUUCUAUCUGCGAGCCUCACAGAGUAACCUUUUCUUGCCUCUUCUCUCUCUUUCUACUUAUCAAUUUAUAGAAAACUUCAUUCCAAUCACCCUUUUCAUCUAUUUUUGUGUGUAAAGCUUUGUUUCGUUCAUUGAAGGCAUGCAUACAUGAACGGAUCGUGCUCGACGAAGUUGAUUCACGAAUUACACCAUUCAACUUCGAUUCAAAUUAUGAUUUCAACAAGAUGUAUCGCUUUGAAAGAUUUUUGAAAUAAAUCACGAUUUGAAUCAUACGAUUCUUACGAUACUAACUACAGUGUCUGGAAUCACUUCCUCUUGUCCAUAUCAAGCAAGUGCACUAUUCAAAUCUAUAUAUGAACUCAAACGAUCUAGUAGAUAAUGGUUUUCUAGUCUUUCUAACUUUCUCAUUUCUGGACUAUAUUCCUAUUCUGCAUCUUGUUAUUCGUUGUUUAUCAAGCAUGCUAAUAAAUUCUAUAUUCUUUUACUGAUCUUCCUAGAUGAUUUAAUUCUUACAUGUAAUGAUUUAGAAGAGAUUACUACAAUUAAUU
rnacentral:lncRNA from 1 species